GACGAACGCUGGCGGCGUGCUUAACACAUGCAAGUCGAACGGAAAGGCCCUGCUUUUGUGGGGUGCUCGAGUGGCGAACGGGUGAGUAACACAUGAGUAACCUGCCCUUGACUUGGGGAUAACUUCAGGAAACUGGGGCUAAUACCGGAUAGGAGCUCCUGCUGCAUGGUGGGGGUGGGAAAGUUUCGGCGGUUGGGGAUGGACUCGCGGCUUAUCAGCUUGUUGGUGGGGUAGUGGCUUACCAAGGCUUUGACGGGUAGCCGGCCUGAGAGGGUGACCGGCCACAUUGGGACUGAGAUACGGCCCAGACUCCUACGGGAGGCAGCAGUGGGGAAUAUUGCACAAUGGGCGGAAGCCUGAUGCAGCAACGCCGCGUGCGGGAUGACGGCCUUCGGGUUGUAAACCGCUUUCGCCUGUGACGAAGCGUGAGUGACGGUAAUGGGUAAAGAAGCACCGGCUAACUACGUG
rnacentral:rRNA from 1 species